CAUUUUCUCUCAUCUACUUCUCAAUGGUUGGACGGUUCUUCCAUUCUUACGACUCCUUGGUCGGCGCAGUUCUACAACUUCGACAAACUUUUUCUUUCUCUACUCACUACUGCAACAUUGUUGAAUCGAAAACGGAAUCAAUGUCGCACAAUUUUGUGGUAACAAUUUUGUUGUUCCUUUCACUACUGUUUCUGAUUUUCGUCAUAUUGAUAUGCAUGAAUCAAUGUCGCGCAAAUUCAACAAUGUUAUUGAUAUUAAUGAUUCGAAGGAGACAUGGCGUAUUGUUGUUCAUAUUCUUGAUCUAUGGAGCGUCGUUAAUAGCAAGGGUAUAGAAAGCCUAAAAAUUAUUGUAAUGGAUGCAAAGUGUGAUCGAAUUCAAGUUUUGAUUUGAAGCGACCACACCGCAAAGUGGAAACAACUGUUGAAAGAAGAUAUGACUUGCGUAAUAAAUAGUGGUAAUGUGUAUGGCAAUGACUUUCAAUGGAAGGUUUGUUUUCUUAAGUAGUACAAUUGUGAAUCCCAUUGAGUUGGGCAUUAUUCCCACUAAAAAGUUUUUCUUCAAAGAAUUUUCUGAAAUCCUUCAAGGAGAAUUGUAAAGUUGACAGACUUGAAGGUAUUUACUUUACAUGAUAUUAUAUUAAUAGAAUAACAUCUUGCUCAAUAUAUUUUUCAAUUGUAACUUAAUAUCUCUUUGUUUAUCAGAUAUUAUAAGUGUCAUCCACGAAAUUAACAAUUAUCAGUCAAAGUCAGACGGGAAGAAAAUUAUGGUUUCUUUGAGACUUAGGAAU